AGCGCAGGCGGUCUUUUAAGUCUGAUGUGAAAGCCCCCGGCUUAACCGGGGAGGGUCAUUGGAAACUGAAAGACUUGAGUGCAGAAGAGGAGAGUGGAAUUCCAUGUGUAGCGGUGAAAUGCGUAGAUAUAUGGAGGAACACCAGUGGCGAAGGCGGCUCUCUGGUCUGUAACUGACGCUGAGGCUCGAAAGCGUGGGGAGCAAACA
rnacentral:rRNA from 1 species